GGUUAGUCGGUUAAUUACGAUUUCAUUUCCCGCUGCCUGGUUCAAAGCGAGUGCUGCUCGAUGUGGAAAGUAGUUGGACGGGUCGUUGUUGUUGUUGCUGCCGCUGUUGGUUCUGAAGGGCACGUUUGCUGGCCGUGUAUAAGACCCAUCGCUGUAGUGUUGGUAUUGGUAUUGGCAGUAGUGUUGGUAUUAGCAAGGUCAGUAGGUGACAGCGGUGGUGGUGGUGGUGGUGGUGGUAGUGCGGCUGCAUUUGCGCGAGGCCUUGUCGGCGUGUUGUUCCAGGCUGGUCAUUGAGCUGUGCUGUGUUGUGAGUCUACUGUGUGGGUUUUCUUUCCCCACCCGACCCACGAGAGUUGGUGGGUUUCCACCUGGUAGGUUGGGGCGGUGAGUGGGAGUGUGUACGGCGGUGUACGGCGCAUCAUGGCCGGGUGCUGAAUGUGCUCAGUGGAGCCGGGUCUUCGGAAUGAGUCAUAUUGUGUGGUUGGGGGAUGUGUGAUGGUUUGUGUGUGUGGAGGGGAGGGGGUUGCACUGAGUCGGCUCAGUCGGUUGUGCACAUGCCUGGUGUUGGGGAGUGUCUGUUGCUGUCGGGCAGCAGCUGAAGCAUGGUGAUGAUGAUGAUGAUGAAGAUGAGGAUGAGGGUGAGGGUGAGUGGCGUUUUCAGGAUUGCGUGUGGGGUGUGCUGUGGCCGUGGGUUGCUUGUACUGGUUGCCGCGGCAGAAGCGCGGACCGGCAGGGGGGCCUGUCCAUACAUACAUACGUACAUAUAUACAUACGGCUAGGCCGUUGUAGUUGUUGCCAUUGGCGGCGACAUAGCUGCAUAGCAGUAUAGCGGUAGAAUGCAAUACAAUGCAAUAGAGUAAUGACGUGGCCACAGUGGCGGUAGGGACUCGCCUACUCGCAGCUUCAUGGUGUUGGGGUUCAACCGGUAAAUAGCUAAGAGUGUUGCGGCGGUUGGUCGGCUGGUGGUUGGUCGGUAUUACGGCGGCGCGGGGAUCCCUGCCUAGCGACGUGUGUGUAUGUGUGUGUGUGUAUGUGUGUGCGCGCGUGGGUUUAUGUCUCCCCCCUUCGCUCCCCGGGGUUCGGGGCGUGAUGUGCAUGCCGACUUGGCUUCUUUUGCCCCGAGCGCCUUUAUGUCCCCUACAUGUACCGCCGCAUGAGGGCAAUAAAGCAACAACAGCACAACAACAACGCGUGUGCGAAUCAGCUCGUGUAAGGUCUAGUAGGGCGAGAAAAAAGGUCUAGGCCGGCAUGUAAGUAUGUAUGUAUGUAUGUACAUAUGUAUACGUAUGUGUAUGUACGUGUGUGCGUAGAGGGUGUCCACCGCCGUUGAGUGGUUCCCCGCGGCACCAGGGGGGGGGUUGGGGGACUGGGGGGAGGGGGGUCAGUUAAGGGGGUGGGGGGCUGUGGCUAACGUGCUACGAUGCUGUGCGCUCUCGGGGACACCCAAGGGCGGGGGGUUCAAGGCCCAAUUUAAAUUGGGCCCCGCCCCGAAUGCGGUGGUUGGAUAUGGUUGGCUACGGUUGAAGACGGUGUGGGACAGUUGGGGACUGUUGUGACUCAUUCCUGCUAUUCACGCGCGGCUCGCGCAUUGCCGUCGCGCCAUCCUCCUUGCCUUUUCUUUCAUCGUCGUUUGUUUCCCCCCCCACCCGGGGGGAUUUAUAAAUUGUUUUACAAGCACUUGGCUUUUCAAAAAAAGCGGAUUGACGAACAGACGAACGGUAUCAGACACAGGCGCACGGUAACCCCACGGUGUACUUCUUGCUUGGUGGGGGGGGGGAGUGCGUUACAGCUUUACCUCCUGCUGAACUACGGAACUCCGCUCGCCUGGCCCACUCGCUUGCUAUCGUUAUAAUCCCGUUUUGCAGAUUUAAUGAGAUGCGGCCCUUUUGCUGCCGCCUCCUGCCGGGGGUGGAAGGAGAAGGCGCCGGGGGUGCUGCUGCUGGCGAGGUGACGGCUGCUGUGAAUCCGCGCCGGCGCUGCUGCUGCUGCUGGGGUUUGCUGCUGCUGCUGCUGUGUGUGCACUUGUUAGCUAAUGUUUAGUUGUGGAAGGUGCAAAAAGGGGUGUGUUGGGGCUCAGUGAGGUGUGUGAUGUAUGUAUGUAUGUAUAUCUAUGUAUAUGUCGACAGGACUCAGCGAAAUGUUGAACAACGAAAGAAGGAAGGAAGCGGGGGGCUGGAUGCGAUAUGUCGCAGUUGGCUGUCGUUGUUAUCCCUAACGAACAAGACAAACCCCCCCGACAGACAACAGCCUUGCGAGGUGUUUCCUUUCCUCUUGUCUGGAAGAAAUUGCAAACUGAAUAUGUAUGUAGGUAUGUAUGUAGGUAUGUGUUUGUGGGGAGGUGGGGAAGUGGGGAAGUGGAGGGAUGCCAGGGCGGAGGGAAAGACGGCGGGCACAUACAUACAUACAAAGGGACACACGGUCCGUAUCCGUAUCCGCCGCGAGCGCAAGACACUUAUCAUUCGGCACACACUCGCAGGCACCAUGAAAACACACACAACACACACUCGCCAGAGAGAGGUGUGCGCGUGUGCAGGUGCAUCGACAACUCGUACAGCACACUUCGGUUGCAGCACUGUAGGACGACAGACAGCUGUAGGAGCUGAUUGGUUACCGACGUAGGGCCGCUCCGAAACUGUUCCCGCACGAUGCUGUUCAUGGUUCACAUCCUCCUCUCUGACGCGUAGCACACAGGCCGGGACAAAUGCAGGCAGGCAGGCAGGCAGGCUCAAGAAAACACACCACCACACACAUAAGAGGCCACCACACACAUAUAAGCUCCCACCACACGAUAGUUCUUGGACCUGUCCCGAGAGUCCACCGGCAAUGAACCACACAGCACGACAUCACGAGUGAAGAGCCACCCGGUAGGGCCUUCCCCACCCCUCCCUUUCCCCCCUGCCCCCGCCUUGUACACUCUUUCCUUGGCAGCAGCUUUACUCGUUCGUGGCUCGCCGUUCCCCCCCCCCAACGCCCCCUCUCUCUCACGGGCCAGUUUUGCGGUGUAAUUGGGGUAAUUGGGUUCUCCAUUCACGUGGUAGUCACCCACCACCACCCACCACCACCCACCAUCAACCACUUACCCAACGGCCCCCUCCCAACAACCCCUCCGACCUCGUUAGGAAGAGGUUCUCUAGGGUGCCGACAGGGGCCCCAGUGGGGGGGAGAGAGCGAUGACUGCUUUCUGCUGCUACUGCUACUGCGGCGGCGGCGGCAAUGAUGGCAACGACACUGACAGUUACGACAGUUAGUCGCCCGACCGGCAAAUGGCCCUUCAGUUCGUUAGUCAGCCACUGCAGCCGCGGGCCCCAGAGCCGGCUACUGCUGCUGCUACUGCUGCCACCGGUGUAUACCCAAACCCUAAUUCGCUGCCACAAUGGCCAUCAUCAUCAUCAUGCCAUCGUGUACGGUAGCCAGAGGCACGACCAGAAGAAUAGCAUUGGAUGGCAGUACGGCAUUCACGGCAGUACGGCGACUGCGUCGAUCUCCACCCUCGCCCCCAGCGGCAGGUCCUUCACGGCGAAUGUGGCCCGCGCCGGGGGCUGCUCGGUGAAGUACGUGGCGUAGAUGGCGUUGACCUUGGCAAAGUCAGCGAUAUCGGCCUGAUUGGGGAAAGCGGACCGAGGCGUUUGAUUCGAGUUGUGGAUGUGUGUUUUGGCUGAAGGUAUGGGGGUGGGAGAAACACAUCGCGGAUCAUCACCCCGAGCCGGGUAGGGUGAAUUACGCCAACGGCACUGUGGAAUGGGCAAUCAGGGAAAGUCAGGAGGAUUCCGCCCGGUAAAGGACUUAUGGUGUAGGAAAUGAGGGCCAAUUUCUGGGGAGCUCCUUGCGACGCCUGCGUGGACGGACAUCAUUUGAAAAGUACAUGGCUGGAAGGAGACAAGACGACCAGUGCGUGACGGAUGGUGGUCUUGUGGAGCUAGAGAUCCUUAAAAUGGCCCAGAGUUUUGCAGGAAGGGAAGGGAAUAGAACAGCCCGUGAGGAGCCGGGGGAGACGGCGAGCGGCAUUGGGGGGUUGGGAUGUCGGAUGUGGCCUGUCGGCCUCGGGUGGUGCACCCGUGGUAAGCAGACAGGAAGGAAGAUAGUUUCAGGAAGGGAUUGAGGGAGCGUACCAGCAGGAUGGUCGUCUUUACCACGUCCUUGUAGUCGGCGCCAGCGGCCUUGAGGAUGGCACCGAGAUUCUUCAGCACCUGCUCGGUUUGGCCCUCCACGUCUGGCGAUGCGAAGUUCUUCGUUCCUGGCACAAUUCCGAUCUGUCCGGAUACGUACACGGUGUUGCCUGCCUUGAUCGCUUGCGAGUAGGGGCCCAGCGCGGCCGGUGCCUGUUCCGUCGAGAUGACCUGCUUUGCCGACAUGGCCCGGACGGAGACGCUGGUGGUUCGGCUCGUGAAAGCUGGAGCAGCAAACGCAGGGCGUGGUAUGCGCACACUGCCCUUCAGAAGCGCGGAACAAGCAGUGUGGCGCAAGGUGACUGCCAUAGUGCGCAGGUUGUGCAAGUGUACGAAACAACGAAGCUGCCUACGCAGAAAUAAUUAUGUGAAUAUACUGGCCGAUGCAGUUCUUUUCACAAUUGGUUCAUAUUGCCUACUUGCGGCGGAUGAUCUGUCGGAGACCACCGGGUCGGUUCCGCACCACGAUUGUCAAUCCAAAAAGAAUUUAUCAUAUAUUAUGACACACAUGAUAAUAUUGUCCAGCCCGACAACAUGAAUUCAAUAAAGCACCAUCGAACAACGUUAGGCCGCCAAGCUAGCCGGCCUUCAAGGCGAGCGCUUCUAACGCAAUGCCUUCACAAGGCACUUCGCCCGGUAGGCAAAAAAUUACCUUGGCGAUGACGAACAUACUCCAAUUCGGCCUAGUCCUCCAUGCCAUCCCCACUGCGUCGCCACAACGCAGCCCAGCGCGGGUCCCAUCACGGCCCCAGCGGACGUUGUCUAUGAAUGCCUUACCCUGCUUCGACGGCUAGACCUGGAGAGGUGCGACUCCGCGACUCGCGCGCAUCCGAAAUGCGUACGGCGAACACACAUCCCGCAACACAUCACCCCCCAAAACCUGCUGCUACAUCCUCUCUACAUCUCACCACACAUGACAGACUGCCUGGCCUUACCUUUCAGCCGACCCAUAUGCCUUCUUCCUUGUUCGAGUGAGGAUCGGCAGCUUUGCGACCAUGGCGACCUUUCUUUAGCGCAAGGUGUUUUUUUAGGUUUUUUAUCCGGGCAACCCCCACUACCGCUCUUACCUCCUCCUCUCCCUCCUUUCCCCCCGUCCCCUCCCAGACCCGCUGCCUCAGGUGAUUACCAAAACCCACAUAUAGGUGCUCAAUGGGGACCUGAGGGGACCUCAAGCUGUUACCCUCCCACCACUCCCCCCCGUUUGUGGUUCGUCUUUCCCACCAGUCCCACUACUCCCCCUCCCCCACACCCCCUCCUCCUCCUCCACACCUCCCCUUGUAUCCUCUCUGCCUCAAACCCCCCUUCCCACCCUCCUUGUUGCCACCAGCCUGGCUCCCUUCUUCCCCCGCGGCUCCUUCGACCCGGGGGUGCGGCG
rnacentral:lncRNA from 1 species